rnacentral:rRNA from 1 species
GACAGAGGGUGCAAACGUUGUUCGGAAUUACUGGGCGUAAAGCGCGUGUAGGCGGCUAUGCAAGUCGGAUGUGAAAGCCCUCGGCUCAACCGGGGAAGUGCACCCGAAACUGCAAAGCUAGAGUCUCGGAGAGGAUCGUGGAAUUCUCGGUGUAGAGGUGAAAUUCGUAGAUAUCGAGAGGAAGACCAGUGGCGAAGGCGGGUCUCUGGACAGUUCCUGACACUGAGACACGAAGGCCAGGGGAGCAAACGGG